rnacentral:tRNA from 2 species
GGUGAGGUGGGUGAGUGGCUUAAACCAGCAGUUUGCUAAACUGCCGUACGUUAACACGUACCGGGGGUUCGAAUCCCCCCCUCACCG